rnacentral:rRNA from 1 species
GACGAACGCUGGCGGCGCGCUUAACACAUGCAAGUCGAACGAGGUCCAACCUUUCGCAAGAUUGGUGAAGAUCUAGUGGCGAACGGGUGAGUAACACGUGAGAAACCUGCCCCGGAGACCGGGAUAACUCACCGAAAGGUGAGCUAAUACCGGAUACCUUCACGACGGCGAAUGUCGAUGUGAAGAAAGGACUCCGCUCUGGGAGGGUCUCGCGGCCUAUCAGCUAGUUGGUGAGGUAACGGCUCACCAAGGCAACGACGGGUAGCUGUUCUGAGAGGAAGAUCAGCCACACUGGGACUGAGACACGGCCCAGACUCCUACGGGAGGCAGCAGUGGGGAAUCUUGCGCAAUGGGCGAAAGCCUGACGCAGCGACGCCGCGUGCGGGAAGAAGGCCUUCGGGUUGUAAACCGCUUUCAGCAGGGACGAAAUUGACGGUACCUGCAGAAGAAGCUCCGGCCAACUACGUGCCAGCAGCCGCAGUAA